AGUGAACGCUGGCGGUAGGCCUAACACAUGCAAGUCGAACGGCAGCACAGUAAGAGCUUGCUCUUACGGGUGGCGAGUGGCGGACGGGUGAGGAAUACAUCGGCAUCUACUUUUUCGUGGGGGAUAACGUAGGGAAACUUACGCUAAUACCGCAUACGACCUACGGGUGAAAGCAGGGGAUCUUCGGACCUUGCGCGAUUGAAUGAGCCGAUGUCGGAUUAGCUAGUUGGCGGGGUAAAGGCCCACCAAGGCGACGAUCCGUAGCUGGUCUGAGAGGAUGAUCAGCCACACUGGAACUGAGACACGGUCCAGACUCCUACGGGAGGCAGCAGUGGGGAAUAUUGGACAAUGGGCGCAAGCCUGAUCCAGCCAUACCGCGUGAGUGAAGAAGGCCUUCGGGUUGUAAAGCCCUUUUGUUGGGAAAGAAAAGCAGCAGGUUAAUACCCCGCUGUUCUGACGGUACCCAAAGAAUAAGCACCGGCUAACUUCGUG
rnacentral:rRNA from 1 species